GACGAACGCUGGCGGCGUGCCUAAUACAUGCAAGUCGAGCGGAAGUUGAAGAGCUUGCUCUUCAACUUUAGCGGCGGACGGGUGAGUAACACGUGGGCAACCUGCCCUGCAGAUCGGGAUAACUCCGGGAAACCGGUGCUAAUACCGAAUAGUUUUCGCCACCUCCUGGUGGCGUACGGAAAGACGGUUUCGGCUGUCACUGCAGGAUGGGCCCGCGGCGCAUGAGCUAGUUGGUGGGGUAACGGCCCACCAAGGCGACGGUGCGUAGCCGACCUGGGAGGGUGAUCGGCCACACUGGGACUGAGACACGGCCCAGACUCCUACGGGAGGCAGCAGUAGGGAAUCUUCCGCAAUGGACGAAAGUCUGACGGAGCAACGCCGCGUGAGUGACGAAGGUUUUCGGAUCGUAAAACUCUGUUGUGAGGGAAGAACAAGUACCAACUAACUACUGGUACCUUGACGGUACCUCACCAGAAAGCCACGGCUAACUACGUGCCAGCCGCCGCUGUAAAAC
rnacentral:rRNA from 1 species